AGAGUUUGAUCCUGGCUCAGGACGAACGCUGGCGGCGUGCCUAAUACAUGCAAGUCGAGCGGACGAAUUUUCGGUGCUUGCACCGAAUUUUCGUUAGCGGCGGACGGGUGAGUAACACGUGGGUAACCUACCUUAUAGAUUGGGAUAACUCCGGGAAACCGGGGCUAAUACCGAAUAAUACUUUUUAACACAUGUUUGAAAGUUGAAAGACGGUUUUGCUGUCACUAUAAGAUGGACCCGCGGCGCAUUAGCUAGUUGGUGAGGUAACGGCUCACCAAGGCAACGAUGCGUAGCCGACCUGAGAGGGUGAUCGGCCACACUGGGACUGAGACACGGCCCAGACUCCUACGGGAGGCAGCAGUAGGGAAUCUUCCACAAUGGACGAAAGUCUGAUGGAGCAACGCCGCGUGAGUGAAGAAGGAUUUCGGUUCGUAAAACUCUGUUGCAAGGGAAGAACAAGUAGCGUAGUAACUGGCGCUACCUUGACGGUACCUUGUUAGAAAGCCACGGCUAACUACGUGCCAGCAGCCGCGGUAAUACGUAGGUGGCAAGCGUUGUCCGGAAUUAUUGGGCGUAAAGCGCGCGCAGGUGGUUCCUUAAGUCUGAUGUGAAAGCCCCCGGCUCAACCGGGGAGGGUCAUUGGAAACUGGGGAACUUGAGUGCAGAAGAGGAUAGUGGAAUUCCAAGUGUAGCGGUGAAAUGCGUAGAGAUUUGGAGGAACACCAGUGGCGGAGGCGACUGUCUGGUCUGUAACUGACACUGAGGCGCGAAAGCGUGGGGAGCAAACAGGAUUAGAUACC
rnacentral:rRNA from 1 species